AUUUUUCUUAAUCAUUAUAUUAUUUGUAUUUCAAUUCUUAUUGCAUACAGAUUCUGUCAAAAAUGAUUAUACACUUUAUCUGCAGUAACUCUGUGAAAUGAUUUAAUGAGUCUGUGGCUGUACAUGCCUUGCUCUGUGAAGCAGAGACAUCUAUUUGUCACCUCUUCCUUCCACAUGUGUGCUCUCUCACCGUAGAUUACCUCUCUGCUAGAAAUGGCCCCCUCCAACCUGCUACCUGGGAACUCCUUCCCCUUCCUGCAGAAAUGUCUGCUCUACAGGGCUCCGAGAAUGGAACAGAGUGAUGAUGUGUGCAUCGGCCCAGAGCAGCUACGGCACUCAUUCUGGAAGGCUGAGGUCCAUGGUGCGAGCCUGGAAGACACGCUCCUAGCAUCGCAGGAAAUGCCAGGCACAUUUGUCAUCUUCUGGGCUGUUGUGCGCCAUCACUGUCAAGUCCUGUCCACAGCUGACCUCAGGGCCUCGGGGAACACUUCGUUGUGUUUUCCACGCAGAAUGAACAGGACGGUUGGGUACAGUCCUUUUCCACCUCAAAAAAGCAGUGUCCGGAGAUGAGUGUUCCAGAAUUACUCAUUGAAAUUUAGCUUUCAACUGUGUUCCAGAGAAUGGGUCUCUUGAGGAUUGAAGAUCAGGAGAAUGCCACCAAUCUAAAUGGGCAACUGAACCCAAGGGUUAGCCAAAGGCCUGAGCUGCAUAUGCCCCUACGUGGCUGAAAACACUGUGAUAGCUUUGUUUCUUAACUACACAGCACUUUAACAAGCGACAGCCAAGGUGGGUUGUUACUGAUCAUAUUUAUGAGAAACAUUUAACUAAUGAGAUCAGACUUCCUCAACUCUUCUGGAAAAUAACUCCAACCUAGUUUGCCUGUCCUCUAUAUUUUGGUUUAUUACAUGCAGCUAAAAAUGUUUAACAAAUGAGAAAAGAAAAUGGAGCGGGCCAUAAAAUUAAGAGAGAUGAAUGGAUAUCAUUGGAAGGAGAUAUAGUAACUUAGAAAAUAAAAUAUUUGAAAUAGUGGGGCCAGGAGGUUUACCCACCUCUCUCUGGACUAACGACAUUCAGAAAACUUUUCAGAUAACAUCCUGUUCUGUCUUUCAGUUGUGGUAUUUACUACUAUUGUGUGUGCAUUACAUAUUUUACUGUUUCAUUUUCUUAAGGUUUUAUUUUUGUCAAUUACACAUUCCCAAUACUAUGUGAAAUAGUUCCAGUAGUUUCAGGUUUUGUUUUAGUAUAUACUAGUGUUUUACUAGGAAAGGGCCAACUUUACUAUUAUUUUAAAAAGCUUUUCCCCAGAUUCACCUCUAUUGUCCUGGUUUUAAUUUUCCAGAAAUAAACCUUAGCAUCUUUCAGAUAUUAGUUUUGCAUUUUGGCCCCAUAUCUUUGUCAAAUACACAUACUCUUGAUUUUUAAAACAAUUAAUUACCUGCUCUGUUUCAAGAUGAGUAAAUUUAAAAAUCAAGAGGCUAGAUUUGGAUGACUACGUAUAUUUUUUUCAGCUUGCUAUAAUAGUAAUAUGUAGCAAAGAACCCCAAGACAUCGGUCAUUAUGAAAAACAACCAGUGUUUCUUUCUCAGUUACAGGUUCUCAGGUUGGCUUGCACUGACGGCUGGCUUCCGGGUGUGAGGUUGGGGUCCGCUCAACUGCCUGGGCCACUCUGGGGCAGUGGUACCCAGGGGGCGCUCUUGUCGUAAGGAAGUAGAUGUGAGUGGCCAAGAUGAGCUCCAUGGCUCUGCACAGGAGGCAGCGGGCAGAGCUCCUCAAGUGCUCAGGUCCGCACUGCAGGGCCCAGCACAGGCAGAGUGCUUGUUGAACACUAUGGUAAUCCACCAACAGGUCUCCAUCCUUGGCAAAACACAAGGGUUGACCUUGCCACACCCUCUUCCGACCCCUCCCACUAUAACAGUGUAUGUGUCCCAGUUUUGGUGAGCUCGGUAUUACUCACAUUUUGCUGACUAUUUCAGUGUGCCCCUGGCUGUGCCAUCUGGUCUACUUUGAGUCCACUUCAAACGGGAUUAAAAGCUGCUUUGAUAAAAAGUACCAAUUGUUCUUUUGGGCUUGCAGAUAACCAAUUGGUAACUAAAAGCAAAAUAAAUUUUGGGAGGCUGAGGCAGGGGGAUUACCAUGAGUUCAAGGCUAGCCCAGGCUACAUAGUGAGUUCAUUUUGUACCUAUUUUUUUAAUUUCUUAAACUUUGGGUGCAGUUCCUGGUUAGUUCUCUGCGCAUAGGCUUGCUGAUCACUUAAGGAAUGUCUGUCUAAAAACUAACUGCGUUAGUAGCCCUAAAUUGACUUAUCCUCUCUUAAUCCUUUCAAGAUUGAGGACACCAAGACAAGAAGAGCUAAGAUAUUCUCAAGAUUCGCGGGGACUUUCAAAUGCUAGCCUUUACAGGAUCUUGAGCCUGUCCUUCUGGGGUGGUGCCUAGAAGUCUCUAGUUACUGCCACAAACCUGCAGUCACCUUGGUUUCCAGUAGGACCACUGCAGACAGAUCACCCCGAGGUGGGAUCACCCCCAGUAGGCAGAAGCAAACAUCUCAAAGGAGCAGCUUUCUACCUCCGUGGUGAGGACUGCUCCAGGGCCAGCUGCAGAAGCAGCACCGAGAUCAUGACCAGCUGGACCCUCACUGGCUGCCGCGUCCCGUAGAAGCUGAUGUCCCUUUCUGCUCUUCUCACGCUGGAGUCCCUUCCCCAUUUCCUCUCCUCGUGAAGAACUCUAGCUCUGUUCUGCUCCCUCAGGUGUUGGGAACAGCGGAGCACGUUUUCAGGGUAACUGAGCUGCAGAAGAGGAGUGAGACUGGGUAAAACCUCGCAAGUCUCGAUGUUCUUACUGAGAUUUAGCUAAGUGAGUGCUCUCUAGGAUGUUACCAGGCUUUGGCAGCUUUCAGAAUUCUGAAAAAGUUGAUCCUGGUAUUCUUUUUACUGCUUUUAAUGCGCUGUAGACUUUUGGAAGUUCUUUUUCCUCCAAGUCAUUAUUUCUCCCCAAAUCCCCAAGUUUUUUAGUUGGUACAUUUUAUCUUAUAAUUUCCACCCCUUGGUGAUUUUUUGAUAUCUGAUGAUGCUUAAGAAUUAUAUACUACAUUUUGAUAUGAAAAUCUGAGUCCAUGGGA
ensembl:lincRNA